rnacentral:rRNA from 1 species
UAAAACUCUGUUGUUAGGGAAGAACACGUGCAUAGUAACUGAUGGCACUUGACGGUACCUAACCAGAAAUGCACGGUUAACUACGUGCCAGCAGCCGCGGUAAUACGUAGGUUGGAAGCGUUGUCCGGAAUUAUUGGGCGUAAAGCGCUCGCAGGCGGUUCUUUAAGUCUGAUGUGAAAUCUUACGGCUCAACCGUAAACGUGCAUUGGAAACUGGGGAACUUUGAGUGCAGAAGAGGAGAGUGGAAUUCCACGUGUAGCGGUGAAAUGCGUAGAGAUGUGGAGGAACACCAGUGGCGAAUGCGACUCUCUGGUCUGUAACUGACGCUGAGGAGCGAAAGCGUGGGGAGCGAACAGGAUUAGAUACCCUGGUAGUCCACGCCGUAAACGAUGAGUGCUAGGUGUAAGGGGGUUUCCGCCCCUUAGUGCUGAAGUUAACGCAUUAAGCACUCCGCCUGGGGAGUACGUGCCGCAAUGCUGAAACUCCAACGAUUGACGGGGGCCCGUACAAGCGGUGGAC